UACGAAGGGGGCUAGCGUUGUUCGGAAUUACUGGGCGUAAAGCGCACGUAGGCGGACUACUAAGUCAGGGGUGAAAUCCCGGGGCUCAACCCCGGAACUGCCUUUGAUACUGAUAGUCUCGAGUCCGGAAGAGGUGAGUGGAACUGCGAGUGUAGAGGUGAAAUUCGUAGAUAUUCGCAAGAACACCAGUGGCGAAGGCGGCUCACUGGUCCGGUACUGACGCUGAGGUGCGAAAGCGUGGGGAGCAAACAGG
rnacentral:rRNA from 1 species